rnacentral:lncRNA from 1 species
GCUGGCCGACGACGCAACGAUUUUCAUCUCUGCCCCGCUCCCUUCUGCAGCCUCCGCACAAACCAACGCCCACGCUCACCUCCCCUCCGUGGCAAAGAAAAAACUUCUCCCACGUCUCCGAGGAAACCGCCUCUCUCUGAAUCGCGCCGCCAAGCAGAGCCUGCGUGGCAUCCCGGCGAUGUUGGCGCAGGCGGUCCGUGCUCUCACCCUCUCAUCUCGGCGGCGCAGGCGGUCCGUGCUCUCACCCUCUCAUCUCGGCGGCGCAGGCGGUUCGUGCAGGAUUUGAAUGGGGAGGGGGAGGUUGCAGCCGCGGCAAAGGCGAGUGCGUUGCGACCGACGAGCACUGGAUUGGGAGGUGUCGAGGUGAGGUCGCCGGAUUUCAUCAUAUUUCUCGUGCUUUCGUUCCGUUCCGUGCUUGCCCCCACAAUUUUAAAGCAGAAAGUACUGGAGCCUGGAAGUAGGUUUUCAAGUGGGUGGGGGCACCGGCGACGAAGACGAUGAGGGCGUCGACACCAAUGUCGCGCGGCGCAGCCUACAUCUGUGCAGCCAUGUCGACAAGCUCCUUAUCCUCCAGCUUUCUUCUCGUCCUCUUCUUGCUGCAGAUCUCUCCAUAUCCCUCUAUUUCUAUCUAGCAUUAUGUUGUAUGCAGGAUUUGGCCGCCGUCUGGUUUCGUUCUUGAUUCUACCGAAGGCUAGCUAACGCAGCCGAUCCUGUGAAGCCAAUCCUCCGUUGUAGCAUUUGCAUUUAGAAUAAAGCUUAAAUACACUAUGCCUCAUAGUCUCAUACUAAUUUUGGUAAAAAAAAUACAAAACCUAUGGCAAAGGCAGUCUAACUCAUUAGAGUGCAUGAACCAAUAAAUUCAGUUUGAUGAAUGCUUCAGUGUUAUACUAUUACAGUAAUAAUUGAUUUUAACUUCAAACAAUGUAUAGGCAGUCAUCACACCAUAAUUGUUAUUUAAAUUCUUGUCUGCAAUCUGGUAGUGUGAAACUGUCACACCUAUGGCCAUAAAUUAUGGAGUACUCCUUGGUUUCAAUAUUGGUAUCAAGUUAGCUUCUUUGUUCUUAUAAAAAACGAGUUACACUGCCUUGGCUCCUCGCCACUCUGUGUUUUGGUACCCAAGUCUACUUUACAUAUUUGGUAAAUAUGUGCAUCAGAAGCAAAGCAUAUGGUCCUUGUGCAAAGCUAAAGUUCUUGUGCAUUAUUAUUCAUGAUUCAGGACAAUGCUAUAUUAUCUAUAAAGUCAGCCAACUUUAUUUUUCUUUCAGAUUUUACUUCAAUCUGGUCAAUUAAAAGAUAAUAUUCAUGUAAUACCAUAAAAAUCUGUAUUUCCUUGUUCAAAGUUUUCAUUGUGCUUCGGCGCUUUAACACUACAUAGCAUUGAAAACUAGCCCCAUCUGUAAAAUGUAAAGAGAAACAGUACCUUAGUGUAAAAAAUAAAGAAAAACAGAGAUGCCAACACUAAACUUUGACACCUGAACAGCAUGCCCUAUGUAUAUAUCUCUUCAGUUGUUGAUGAAAUAUGAUGAUGCAUGCUGAAGUGCCCAUUAUUCCCCAUGUGAUGCAGGCACCAAUCAGGAUCAACUUCGGUGUUCAAAGACGAUGCAGGUCCAACCAUCUAAUCAAAACUCAGUUUUUGCAGGUCCAGUGGGACAACAUUUGCCCGUUAUCUGGUAUAUACCUGUUGCACUAUGAUCCCUGUUUUAUGAGCAAACAGUAUCUACCCAAUGGAAAUUGGAAUUUUUGGGAAUAGUAUAGUACAAAAGUCGUGCCAGUGCUUGUGAAUAUUUACUUUGAUUUUUCUUACAAUUAGUUUAGCUCUAAAAUUUUAUGUGGGCACAUCUACCUUUUCUAUUAUUUUUGGGAAAUUCCUCUGUUUAUCUCCAUCGAUCAGUCCAUCCAUCCAUCUACCUUUAAAAGGAGAGUUUUUCAGCAUUAUCAUCCUGUUUGGUCUAUUCCCUCCCCUCACUUUCUCUUCUCAUGGUUCUAUUCCAACAAAGAACAGAUGAGUCUUAGAAGUUGUUACAAGUGGUCGUGCACUGUCAUGUAGACUUUACUGUGUUUCUCAGGGACCAUAUGCCCUGUACAUCAAUAUCUUUCAGUUCAUUGUGUUACUAUUUUGCAGGCCAUCGAUCAGAACAGAGAGCUUUCUAAAAAAAACCAUAUUGUUGAUCUCUGGACUUUUUUUGUUAUUUUAGUGUGGGUUGAUUUAUUGAUUAUUUUUUUGCUGGGUGUAAUGGCCUAAUACCGAUAUGGACUAUUUGGUUUACAACCCAUCCAAGCAGGUUUUUGACAGUUUUUAGAAGUUCUAUGGUUCAUAACGAAAAUUAAUCUCUCUUUUGGUUUGAUUUGCAUUCUUGUUCUUGUAUGAUCUUAUUGUGUUAAAAAAAUUUUAGCUUCAUGGGCACAGGCUUAAUUAUGCUUUGAACAAAUACUUUUAAGGUCAUAUAUGUCACUGAUAUACAGUUAUUUACAAACAAAUAAAUGAAUUGCACAUGGAUGGGUUAGAACUUAGAAUGUGGCAUUGGCUUGCUGUGAAACGGAAAAAUAUUUACACAAAUAUAAAAAAUGAUUAUGACAAGAGAAGCAGCUGGACUACUUGGGCCAGCACGAGCUAGCGUGAAUGAGCAGGCGGAAGGAAAUUAUUAUAUAUAAUAAAAAAUAAAAAAAGUUAUGAUGAGGAAAAUAUGACAAAUAAAUAUGAAAAAUAUUAUGUUCGGUAUGUUUGGGGAAUUAGUCAAGUAUAAUUACAUCCUUUCGCAUAAUUAGAGUCCUAGACGUACCUACUAUGUUUAGGAUAUCAAAUAUGUACCUGUUACUGUCAUGAGCUACAAAACCUAUUAUUGUUGUCAUAAUUGAUGUUUUCGCUGCAAAGAAAACUGGUAAGAAAAAGUAGAAGAAAAACUAAUAUGUUUCUUUGGACUGACCAUGUUCCUCGUCUCUAUAUGCAGGUUGGCACCUUGACAAGGUUGUUGGGUAUUCUUAACAUCAUUAUCAAAAGUAGACUAAGUUGUCUAAAUCUAGUAACGGUGCAAAAAAUGUCAAACCUAUCCCUCACACCACUUAAGCCAAGUUGUCAUCCCCAGCAUGAUAUAAGAGACGCGGUAUUGAAAUAUGCAAUUGCUCUUUUAAAUAAAUAAUGAAUGGGAUCUGUAAGCGCACAGAUUAAUACCGAUGUAGCAUUUUAACCGGGAAGUAUUCCAGGUAUCGUUAUUUAUAUUUUUACCACUGGGAAGGGAUUAACAAUCAUCAAUAUUGAUUACAGAAUAAAAUAUGAGAUUGAGUAUCUAUCAUUGCAUGUAUAAUUGAGAACAUUAUAUCUAACUCUUCAUACAGGGAUAAGUGUCACAUAAUGGAUAUAUGAAGUAAUGAAUAGUGACAAAGAUAAUUAGUCUGAUCUAGCCACAUAAUAAAUAUGAUAAGCACCUCAAUUAGAUACUCUAGAAAGUCAUUAGCAUGGAAUUAGAACGAACUACAAGAAUAUUUCAUAAGUUAUUCUCAACUAUAUAGUCUAGCAUUGUCAUAAUUAGUGCAAGCAUACUUAGCAAUCAUUGUGAGACAAGACUACGCCCAUGCAUAGUGAUAUUAGCAAGGUAAAUGAGA